ACUUAAAGUCAGGUGAAUGUGGAAGA
rnacentral:piRNA from 1 species